GAUGAAGAACGUAGCGAAAUGCGAUAAGUAAUGUGAAUUGCAGAAUUCAGUGAAUCAUCGAAUCUUUGAACGCACAUUGCGCCCCCUGGUAUUCCGGGGGGCACACCUGUUCGAGCGCCAUUACAAACCUCAAGCCCCCGGGCUUGGUGUUGGGGAUCGGCGAGCCUCCGCGCCCGCCGUCCCCUAAAUCUAGUGGCGGUCUCGCUGUAGCUUCCUCUGCGUAGUAGCACACCUCGCACUGGGAAACAGCGCGGCCACGCCGUUAAACCCCCAACUUCUGAACGUUUGACCUCGGAUCAGGUAGGAAUACCCGCUGAACUUAAGCAUAUCAAUAAGCGGAGGA
rnacentral:misc_RNA from 1 species